CUUUUAUAACAAAAUAAACCCUUUUAUCCCCCUUCUUUCACACUUUUGGUUGUCACCAUGCUUUUCAAUGAAAGCAAGCCAUAAAACACCAGGAAACUCGUGACACCAUAUUGUUUUACUGAACAGAAAUACACAAGACACCAUCAGGCCUGAUCAGGGGUGUGUGCGUAUUCUGAAAAAACCUCCCUACCCCAGACCUCUGACUUCCUGUAAGAGCUCAGUAUCGAUUGAAAGACUUUGGGUGGAAAAAUCUCCGCGGAGAUCAGAGCUCAGUGGAUUACCAUCACACCUCUCUCACAUACCGGGAGACGAAUCCUGGCCGCCUGGGUGAAAACCAGGAAUCCUAACCUCUAGACCAUAUGGAAGUCUGAGAGGUGUUUAAAAACACAUUUUCUCCUCUGUUAAAAAGUUAAAUCCUUAUUUUAAAGCGACCAUCUGAAUGUUUUUUGUCUUAUCCAAUAUCCACUGUUUUAGAAAAACAAAUUUUCACCCUUUUGUUAAUAAAAAACUUGUACCAUGUUUGACACCAAGCAUUACACACUCAUUAAAGAUGUCAUUUAAACACA